rnacentral:piRNA from 1 species
UGCAAAUGAGGUGUCGCUGUCC